GAUGAACGCUGGUGGCGUGCUUAACACAUGCAAGUCGAACGGAAAGGCUCCUGCUUGCAGGGGUACUCGAGUGGCGAACGGGUGAGUAACACGUGGGUGAUCUGCCCAGCACUUCGGGAUAAGCCUGGGAAACUGGGUCUAAUACCGGAUAGGACGAUGGUUUGGAUGCCAUUGUGGAAAGUUUUUUCGGUGUGGGAUGAGCUCGCGGCCUAUCAGCUUGUUGGUGGGGUAAUGGCCUACCAAGGCGUCGACGGGUAGCCGGCCUGAGAGGGUGUACGGCGACAUUGGGACUGAGAUACGGCCCAGACUCCUACGGGAGGCAGAAGUGGGGAAUAUUGCACAAUGGGCGCAAGCCUGAUGCAGCGACGCCGCGUGGGGGAUGACGGCCUUCGGGUUGUAAACUCCUUUCGCUAGGGACGAAGCGCAAGUGACGGUACCUGGAGAAGAAGCACCGGCUAACUACGUG
rnacentral:rRNA from 1 species